UCUUUCCACCCGAGCGCGAGGUAGACGCCGGGGCCACCCGCAGCACGCAGAGCUUCUGGGAGCCGGUGGCAAGGCCGAAUUGGGAUGCAAACCAAAUGGACGUGGGUGACUGGCAGAAAACGCCUCCCACAAAUGGGAGGGAUUUCGGAGGGAACCGAAAGAAAGUUGUAGGCAAUUUGUGCGAGCAAGGGGCUCUUCUCCACACAGACACUCAGGGACCACAGUCUCCACCAUCUUAUAGAGGCACUUCCUUGAACAUGUGGUCCUCUCAGCGCCUGCAGCAGAAGAGAGCACUGGAGAGUGCCUGUCCUUGGAAUUAGUUCUUCUUCCCUAAUUAGAGUACCUCCUAACAUGGUGCCUUCACCCUUCAGCCCAAUAAGUGUUCACAAAACUGACCAGACCACGGAAAUUCCUUCUCCUUGGGCAACUGAAGAAGAGGAUAAAGAGAAAGAAAGGAGGCUUGAAUGUUUUCCUUUCAAGGCAAUAUGUUACUUACUUAAUAUUAGAAUUAACUAAUUAAAAAACCUCUUAGCUUCUCCUAUGGGCAGACAUUCUUCAAAGUUACCAUAUCAGGACUGGAGGCAAAUAAUAAAUAUCUAAUGGUACAACAGGCCACAGUUUUUACUAUCCUAGUGAAAUCUGCAUACUUUCAAAAUUAAAUCUGCUUGAUUCCACCCACUAGAGUUUGCAGGUAACAACAAUGACAUAAUGAUGAUGUCGACAGCAAUGGGUCUUGCUGAUUCAGUGCUUACUAUUACCUGUCACAAUACUAACUGCAAUGUACUGCUCAUUUCUCACAACAAACCAGAGGAUGAGAUGUUAUUCCUCUCCAUUUUGUAGAUAAGCUGACUGGGGUACAGAGAGGUAAAGCGGCUUACCUAAAGACACACAGCAAGUGACAGGC
rnacentral:lncRNA from 1 species